rnacentral:rRNA from 1 species
ACGGAGGCAGCAGUGAGGAAUAUUGGUCAAUGGACGAGAGUCUGAACCAGCCAAGUAGCGUGCAGGAUGACGGCCCUAUGGGUUGUAAACUGCUUUUGUACGGGAAUAAAGUGACCUACGUGUAGGUUUUUGCAUGUACCGUAAGAAUAAGGACCGGCUAAUUCCGUGCCAGCAGCCGCGGUAAUACGGAAGGUCCGGGCGUUAUCCGGAUUUAUUGGGUUUAAAGGGAGCGUAGGCCGUGCUUUAAGCGUGUUGUGAACUGUAGGCGCCCACCGUCUGCACUGCAGCGCGACCUGGAGCACUUGAGUACGCAGGACGUAGGCGGAAUUCGUCGUGUAGCGGUGAAAUGCUUAGAUAUGACGAAGAACUCCGAUUGGGAAGCCAGCUUACUGUAGCGCCACUGACGCUGAUGCUCGAAAGCGUGGGUAUCGAACAGGAUUAGAUACCCUGGUA